rnacentral:rRNA from 1 species
UACAGAGGUCUCAAGCGUUGUUCGGAUUCAUUGGGCGUAAAGGGUGCGUAGGUGGCGCCGUAAGUCAGGUGUGAAAUCUCGGGGCUCAACCCCGAAACUGCACUUGAUACUGCGGUGCUCGAGUACUGGAGAGGAGAUUGGAAUUUACGGUGUAGCAGUGAAAUGCGCAGAUAUCAGGAGGAACACCGGUGGCGAAGGCGGGUCUCUGGGCCGAUACUGACGCUGAGGAGCGAAAGCGUGGGGAGCAAACAGG